CAGUGCUUGACUGUAGACUCGAGGAAGUUUGUCCUAAACUCCGCCCUCCCCUCCCCGUGACUGGAGUUUAGUGUAGUGCGGGGAGGGGGGCAGUAAACAACUGAAAGCACAUGGCUCCAUUCCCCUUCUACACUGCUGCCUGGCCUGGAUUUCGUGCAUCUGAUGAACUCCACUUGUUCAGAAGAGAAGCUGGUUUUCGGUGCCAGUAGAACAUCAGAAACGCCAGGGCCAACAGCAGAACAAGGAACAGGGACGCCAAGAAAAUGGUGACACCGACAGGUACUGAGAAAUAAGCAGACAACGACAGCAGGAGAAUUCAAGAGAUACAAGUGUAUCCCUACACUUAUUGGUGGGACCCUGAAACCCCAGAACCCACAGUCUGACUCACCGUGUGAUUGGGGGACAACGUCACCAUGUGCCCAUCAGUGUAAUGUGUCUCAGUGUAGCCGGGGGCAAACAGGAGACUGAAAUACAAGGGGUGAACUGCCUUCCUUCUGAUGACACCAGUAUCUCUCCCCGGUCUGGAGUCCCCUGUAUUAAACAUAAAGAAAAAUAAAAUAACCAGUAAUAAAUCUUUUCUUUGAAAAGCACAAUGGCAUAAAUAGGAUUAAAGCCUUGGUGGCUCCCUGUAGCCCUGUAUGUUUUGUACAUCAUCCCACUCCUACAACUGAAGGGGUCGCAGGUUUCCUAUAGAAGCUCUUCUGUUUAUACAGAAACAAAUCAUUUGUAUCAGCAGCAGGUUCAGCAUUUAGUGAUCGGAUACAGUUACCAUAAUAAAAGAAAACAUCUUAUUGGUUGAUAUAUGUUACCGUCCUAAUUUUGUAGGACUGUAUUGUCCAAAUUGCUGUGCCUCCUCCCAGCUAAAAGCUAAUGAAACAAUCGGAUCUUUAUUCCUGAUCAUUUAUCUGAUCUUUCUCGCUGAAUUCUGUCCUGAGUUUCUUGCAAAAUUGUGACAAUAUACAAAGAUCACUUCAGUAUUUCUCAGUACACAAGACUUCUCAACCAACUGAUAUCUGAAUAAGGCUCAAUCUCAUACUGACUCCACAGGUCAAUAGCCUUUAAAUAUUGCCACGAAUGGCUCAGUACCUACCC